ensembl:lncRNA
UAGUCCUACUCACGACUAAGAUUUAUUACAGAGAAAGGAUAUUAAUCAAAAUCAGCAAAUGAAAAGGCAACUGGGAUGAAGUCAGAGGAAGUCAGGUGCAAAGUUCCCGAGUCCUCUGCCAGAGAAAUGGGACAGGACACACUCCAUUGCCCCAGCAACAAGGGGUGAAAGCGUGUGUGAAGUGUUGUCCACCAGGGAGGCUCACCGGAGACUCAGUAUCCAGGGUUUUCGUGGGGGCUGGUCGCCCUCUGCCUGGCAUGUACCCAAUUCCAGACUCCCAGAAGGAAAGCAGGAGUUCAGCAUACAGCCUGUUUGUUUGUGUGAACAGUUUAGGCCCGGUCGCCACUCCUCUCAGGGGAUGGGAGCAAUCCUCUGGAAAUGUACGUGCCCAGACACCAGCCGACUUGCAAGCAUGCCUCUGACGGAGAGCAGUCUCAGGCCGGCUGGGUUAACUCUUCACAAAGGGCCCUCUUUAAGAAAGAGAAGACAAAGAAUGUAUCCAAAAUUAACUGAAUAGAGAAAAGAAAUCCAACAUGUAACACAAAUUUUUAAAAUUGACCGAUAUCACAAACAGAAAACAGAAAACCACCAUAGUGUCGUGAAUUAACUUCUGAUAUGUUUGCCUAACUUGCUUCCCUUAAGCUUUUUGGGUGCAUACUCUGAUGGCCUCUUGAGACGACAACACUUUUAUGAUGUCACCAUCUACAUAGAGAAAGAACACAAUUCGGUGUGUCCUCUGAUGCGUUUGAUCAAAGUUUAUUUUUAUUUAUAGCUUGGAAAAGUUACUUUCAGUAACAGCUCCUUUGGAUAAUAUUGUAUAAAUGUUUAGAAUUGUUAAUUUGAGGAAACUUCUAUCAAAUUUCUUUUACAUGUGAGCCGUAAGAUUUCGGGGCCUUUUGGGUGUUCUUGUUUGCGACUUAGAUAUUUUUUGAGUGGACACCACUCAUUAGCCAAUUCCAUCAGCCUGACGUGUCAUGACAUGCAGCACAGAGGGAGGGGGCUGUGUUCCUGGAAGCCCCUUCUAUACCAGAAUGACAGCAGUAGCUUAACUCUACCAGGAAGUGACUGUCCCUGCGAAACUCAAACCAAAUGUGCCCCCAACUCAACCUCCCGGAGUGAACCCCACAGCGCCCCCUCCAGCUCCAGGCAGCAGGGGAGGAAGUGACCGAAAGCUGGUUGCAAUGGGAAGAGAAAGCCUUAACUGAUUGUGAUUAAAUUAUUUCACAUUUGCAAAUUUUACAAAAUAUGCAACCAUAUGAACACUUUGUCAGGGUCCUGCCCUGGAAGGGGUUGUGUCAAUGAGAGGCCUGAGCUGGGCCUUGUGACUUCACAGUGAACCUGUCCCCGGAGCCCCAACACACUAGAGUGGUAGCGGCACAUCUCAGCAGCGUCCCACCCCGAGAGGGGCCUCCAGGGGACUGGCACGUGGGAGGGCCUUCACCAGAUGGUGUCACCGUUCUAUUAGGCUGACAGGGAACUUGGGAAGACCAGAGAGCCCCAGGGGCGUGAGCUCACUGCCACAGUUCAUCAGCUCUAAGAUGGGUCCUCGGUGUGCCGCAUGUCCAACAGGAAGGAAGAUUAAGUGCAGUUGCCACCCCGUCUCCUGGAACACUGCUUUCAGAGGGGAGGUGUCCCCCGCCACAGUCAGCACUGGUGAGAACUCCUGCAGAGGUUCCCCAUGCCACACGGAAGCAGCGGGGAGGGACAUGCCAUCUAGGAGAACCUGCCAGUUGACAAGUGGGAACUGCACGGAGCAGACCAUCAAAGAGGAAAGAAAUGCUGAUCAGAGUGGAAGAAAAGGACACAAACGAUGGCCCCUGCCCAGAGCUGCUCAUUACAGGAAGAGAGUCCUUCCCAUGUUCUGAAAUGAAAACCUGAUUGUCACUCUUGGGGGGGCUCCCCUGCCCCCAGGAAUCUGUUGCCUGCAGACCUCUCUUGGGGCCUCCUUGCUGUCCACUUCACCCCCUUCCCUGAGGUCGCAGCCCUGAAUGUGUUGCCUUGUCCAAGGUGCCUUUCCUCCAUGGGACAGUGCCACUCCCCGCCACUCCCACAACAGGCCCAGUGCUGUCUGGUCCCUCUCUUUGCCUCCAGCCCCAACCUAGUGCACUCAUAGGCUCAACUCAUGCCCCGGGGCUCUGACCGACCCCCCCGCAGGCUCUACUGUCUGGUUCCUGCUGCCGCUGGACCCUGUGCCCCCUCCCUCAGGGCAACUCGAUCAUCCACCCUCUGACCCCUUUAGAGGCUGUGCUGGCCAAUUGCCUCAGAGACGGUACCAUCAUCAGCUCCACAACCUGGCUUGGGCAGGUGGGGACAGUGCAGCUGGUGGCCAGAGGUCAGAGAUCAGGUGCGCCCUGUUCCCAUGGGUCAGAACUGCUGGUCCCGGCUCUGAAGCCCCGGAAUGCAGCCGAGGCGUGGGGGCAGGGCGGCUGCUGACCUCACAAUGAUGGGGUCCGCUGUCCCUGGCCAGCCCGCCUGCCGACUGUCGGCGGCUGCAGCCCGCCGCUGCUGGGCAUGUCCCUCCUCAGCAGCUACGAGGGCCUGCGGCAGGAGACCCAGCGGCUGG